GCCCUUGUGGCGCAAUCGGUAGCGCGUAAGACUUCUACUUUGUCAUCUUAAGGUUGUGGGUCCCACCAGGGGCU